rnacentral:rRNA from 1 species
ACUCUGUUCUUUAUUGGAUGGAGUAGUGUCGCAAGGCAUCAUUUAAUAUUAUAUUGCUUUUUAGUGUAGUAAUUGGGUUAAACUGGUUAUGAAAUUAAAGGGAGAACAGUAUGGUAUUAAAUGGGGUUCCAGUUCAUUUACUUUGAGUAAAUUAGAGUGUUCAAAGCAGCCUUUUGGGGCAUUGAAUAGAUUAGCAUGGGAUAAUAGAAUAGGAUUUUUGUCUAUUUAUUUGGUUUUUAGAUUUAAAAUAAUGGUUAAUAGGGAUAGUUGGGGGCACUUGUAUUCAAUAGUCAGAGGUGAAAUUCUAGGAUUUAUUGAAGACAAACUUCAGCGAAAGCAUUUGCCAAGCAUGUUUUCAUUAAUCAAGAACGAAAGUUAGGGGAUCGAAGACGAUUAGACACCGUCGUAGUCUUAACUAUAAACUAUGCCGACCAGGGAUAUGAGGGAUAUUUAAAUUUAUGUUAUUAUCAAAUAACAUAAUCUCUUGUGAACCUUGUGAGAAAUCAUAAGUUUUUGGGUUCUGGGGGGAGUAUGGUCGCAAGGCUGAAACUUAAAGGAAUUGACGGAGGGGCACCACCAGGAGUGGAGCCUGCGGCUUAAUUUGACCCAACACGGGAAAACUUACCAGGUCCAGACAUUUGAAGGAUUGACAGGUUGAUAGCCCUUUCUUGAUUAAGUGGGUGGUGGUGCAUGGCCGUUCUUAGUUGGUGGAGUGAUUUGUCUGGUUAAUUCCGAUAACGAACGAGACCUCUGCCAUUAAAUAGAGAUAGUUAUAAGAAAUUAUAGCUAGUUUAAACAAUUUACUCUUCUUAAUGGGACUUUUGGUUUUUAAUCCAAAGGAAGUUAGAGGCAAUAACAGGUCUGUGAUGCCCUUAGAUGUUCUGGGCCGCACGCGCGCUACACUGAUAGCAUCAAAAAGUAUAUUUAUUUAAUCCUUCUCUGGAAAGAGUGGGUAAUCUUUUUUAAAUGCUAUCGUGAUGGGGAUAGAUGAUUGCAAUUAUUCAUCUUGAACGAGGAAUUCCUAGUAAGCAUAAGUCAUCAGCUUAUGUUGAUUACGUCCCUGCCCCUUGUACACACCGCCCGUCGCCGCUACCGAUUGGAUGAUCCGGUGAAAUCUUUGGAUUCUGAUAAAAUACUUGGAGUAAUAUUCAAGUUUUAUUGGGAGAAGUUGAUUAAACCUUAUCAUCUAGAGGAAGCAAAAGUCGUAACAAGGUUUCCGUAGGUGAACCUGCGGAAG